rnacentral:rRNA from 1 species
UCCGUAGGGUCCGAGCGUUGUCCGGAAUUCCUGGGCGUAAAGAGCUCGUAGGUGGUUUGUCGCGUUGUUCGUGAAAACUCACAGCUCAACUGUGGGCGUGCGGGCGAUACGGGCAGACUAGAGUACUGCAGGGGAGACUGGAAUUCCUGGUGUAGCGGUGGAAUGCGCAGAUAUCAGGAGGAACACCGGUGGCGAAGGCGGGUCUCUGGGCAGUAACUGACGCUGAGGAGCGAAAGCGUGGGGAGCGAACGGG